UUAACUAUUAUAUAGUACUCAGACAGUAUAGACAAACAGAGUUUAGGUCCUCUGGCAGACGCUCGCCGGCCGGAGCCAGCAGCCCGGAGGCAGGCCUGCCAAAGCAACAAAGGUGUAAUAAACAAAGGGUGGUAUAGAGGACCCCAGCCCGGAGGGGCCGGGGGACUAUAACUUUAAUGAUCCUUCCGCAGGUUCACCUACGGAAA
rnacentral:misc_RNA from 1 species